UUUCAAAAUUGUUAAUUAUAGUAGAUGUCCAAGCUUUAUUCUUUGUUUUAAAGUUCAAGGAACUCUUUUUUUUAAUCUAAUGUUUAUUAGAAUUACAGCCUGCAAACGUACUCAGAUAACGAGCAUGUGUGUGCCUAUACUUCUGUGCUCCUGUGCCAAAAGUAGACUUAGGAACAGUAAGCAAGGCCUCCAGUGAGAUCAGUUUGGGGCAGCCUGGAGCAGAUUAUUUGUGCAAUCUUUACUCAGCUGUUCUGAAGCCCUUGCUGGAUGGCGGGGAUGGCCCUCCCAGGCAGGUUCUCAGCAGAAUGGUCUGGACUCUGCUGGUGCUCUCACUUAUCACUGGGAGGAUAUUCCAGGACCACAUCCAUUGGCAGGCAGGAAGUUAAUGCACAGCCUCCGAUAAACCAUCUGUUACAAAAGCAGCAAUCAAAAUCCAAAGCAGCAGCCCUUCAGCAACGUGACCAAACUCAGGUUAACUGAAGCCAAAUUCUCCUUUUAAGUAAACAGACCUCCAAGUACUGCUACUCUGACACAUGCUGGAUCAUUGCUUACAAGACGAAACUAGCCUUUCUCCUGCCUGAACCCGAAGUCAGAGGGAACUUUUGAAUGAAUCAUGGACACAAGCCUCGUGGUAGGCAAAGAUUCUGCAUACAUGGAAAGCUUAGAGUCAGACAUGCUAGGCUGCAGCAGUCCAAGGCAACAAAGCUUCAAGGACAAGCACAACUUCUGUGGAUGUGGAUCACAGGAAGAAAAAGGGUCCAGAGCAGUAAGAAAGCACCAGAGGACCUCUGAGCGAUGGCCACCGGGGUGGCCUGUGUGCAUCACUGCCAGGAGUUUUACAGAGAAAACCCACAGCACAGCAUGACUGUUGACACUGUCCAGUUCAAAGCAGCUUUGUGGUUUGGAAAAUGGAGGAAGGGAGGAAAAAAAUUAAUGGAAACCUCCUCUGGGAGAGUUUAGCAGUAGGUAAGGGGAUAAUGAGCUUUCUAUAGGUACCCCACGUAGGAUCACAAGGUGAGCCUGGCAGGUUGCCAGCUGGUUGUGAUAGAAGAGUACUGUGUGCCCCAGACCAGAGAUGAGCUCAUCUGCGCAGGCUGUGCUUGUAAGCUACAUCCCAUUUUGGCUAGCUCAGCCUGCUUCUUCCUGCCAGGGCACUUGGGUGAUUCUGCCUGCUCAUGCACCUUCUCUAAUGCCUUCCUGGUGAUUUAGAUGAGCUUUCCAGGAGUCUCUCUCCCAGUGAUAGACAUAGGAAAUAUCCUUAUAUUCUGCCCCUCCUUCCUUAAGUUCUCCUGUGCAGGAGUGAGGAACAGAUGUGCCUUAGUAUUAAUUGCUCGGAAGUAAAUCACACUGGAGACCUGUAUCUGACUCACCUGAUUUGCCCUGGCUCCUCGAUGUGAAUGAUGCGGGCAGGAGGACAAGCCUGGUGCAGAGGACAUGUUUGUUAGCACGUUCCACCCAUCCAAUUGUCCACAGAUGCUUAACGAGAUCCAGGAAGACAGCCAUGAGGCUGGGCAGCUCAGGUCUCAUUCAUAAUUGCUUGCUGUGCAGCAAGCUGCAAUCAUAUGGGAGUUAUAGACAUUACAGACUAGGAGCAGGAAGAGAGACCUUACCAACAGGGUUUUAGUUUGAAUCAUUCCAAGAUCCGUCUGCACUCUGAGAAUUGCAAUUCAUGAGCUCAGUCCUCAGAGUGGUUCUCAGUAUUUUUUUCUGAAAUUGAAAAGUACUGAUGGAAGCUGCGCAGAAGUCUUGCCUUAACAAGUGCUUUGAGACCAGGUGUCCUGCUUUCCUGAAGCAGGCAUCUAUCACCAGCAAAGCACACCUUGCCUUACAAAGCACAGAACAGAGAGGGAUUCUCUGUCCUGAGGAAUUUACAUAUAGGAGGUAUCGAUACGAGGAUGGGCAGUGUCUUAUUUUCAUUGUGAGUUUUUCUCCAUUCCUCUUCAGAUCUUUCACAUUCUGCCUGUUUUGGAAACAAGAAAAUGCUCAGUAUUGUUGUGAAUCCCCUUCAGAAACCCAGGAUAGCGGACCGCUCUGUAACAUCUACAAACUUGGUUUUCACCUCCUCUAAACCCCUUGAAGGUCUGGUUUUGGAGAAGUUCAUGCUCUGGAGCUCCUGCAGUGAUGAUGGCAGGCACUGGCUGGGGGCACAUCCGCAGACCCUAUCAGCAGGUUGGAGGUAGAGCUGUGAGCAACAUGAAUGAGAUUCCUUGCAUUAAAGCAGGCAGGAAAGUAUCUGGUAGUGCUCUGUGUGUGCUGUGGCAGUGCCUGGUGAUGGCAGGGGGUCCUGUGGCACCGAGCACCAGUAAGACACCUAAUAAUGGGCUCCCCCACCAUUUCUUACAGAGCAUGGCAAGAGGUUGUAAGGAAAGAUGUCUCUUCUGCUCAGUAUUUAUCAGGAGGGCUGGGGCUUGUUCAAGGACUCCCUCCUCGCCUCCUUACAGGCUGAGGUCAAAUGAGAACACAAAUCUCUCUGAUAAGGUUGUCAAAACAUGCCAAUUGAAUGUCAGAUACGAUUAAUAGGGAAGAUAACACCGAUGUGAUAGGUCAUGGGGAGGAAACUGCUAAACCAGUUGUAGAAGUGGAGAAUGUGUUGGGGGAGGCAGCAGAGCCUGGUCAGAGCGGAGGGAUUUGCACUGCACAGGAGUCCGUGUGCUGGUGUGGAAAGCUUUGCUGUUGGCACACAGGGCACUCUGGAAGGGUUUGGAACAUCAUCAGGAAAGUCACUCUUUUAUAACAUACAGAUGGUUUCAGGACAGCUUCCAGAUAUUCCUGUGAUUUCAUUGCCUUAAUGCAUUGCAUUGCAUCCCCCACUACACUGAUAAUCAGCCCAGACAUCUAUUCAGCCAAACUGCCUCUGAGCCAUGGUGGGAGGCAUUCCUUGAGAGCUCUUUGCGGCUGUGGUUGUGCAGACCAGGCAGGGGCGCUCCCCACGCAUCACCAUUCACAGGAUUACAAGGACACCUACAAGGGUCACUGCUUCCCCUUUCCCUGUUAGCAUCAGCUGUUGUGGCAUCCAUGCCCCAGGUCACCCAGGAAUGGCCAUACGGCUCCUGUCACUCAGAUUACAGUUCCCAACCCUAUGCGUUUGCACAGGAGAAGGCUGGAGGCUGAGGUGGAGGAGGAAGGGAAAUGCUGGCCACAGAUUACUGCACUGCUCUAUCAAAAGGACGAGAUGAAGGGCAGGGCAGGUUUUGCAAUGCCUUUUCAGCCACAGCAAAGCACCUGUCAGCAGAACUGAGAGGGGAUGUGAUAGAGGUGAAGAACAGGAGGCCUGAAGACAGUAAGACACGAGGCAGAGCUCUUGCUUUCCUGGCCUGUGAUUUCUUGCUUAAGCUUCUUUUGAGACAGUGGUCCUGUAUAAUACUUCUGGCCUUUCGCUUCGCUCUCAGCCUUAUUUAUUGCCUCUUCCCAAUGCUCCAAUGCUUUCCUCCUCCCCAGCACUCCUGCAGCCGAGGAACUUUGCCAGUGCCACCGCCUUGGCUGAGCGGAGGAAUAAGCAGAGGUAAAAUCAAGGGCUUUGCACGCACCAGUGUUCCCACGUAAGCUGUCAGCAGUCACAGUGACAGACGACCCUGGCACAAAAGCACGUAGCUGCAAUUUACACACAACUUUACCCCAAAGAAGCAUAAAUUGACACUGGCUUGAUGGUCGUGGCAGGGAAGCAGGUUACCAGCCCCCAACUACAGAUAUUGUGGUUAAUCUUUUAUGCCAACAAAGCCUCGAUUUUGAUUUAAAUCUCCCUUUUAUCUUUCUGCCUUUCUACCCUAGAGCAAACAUACUUUCACCUACAGCGAGUGAAUUGAAUGAAAAAGCCAUUUUUCUUGCCCUGUCACAAAGCCACAUUCUGGGGCUACUACGUGUGGAAUUUUCCAUGUGGUUGCUAUAAGCAGCCCAUGUACACAGUAGAAAAAAAAACAGCUUGGCUUUUAAAUGGUGCAAGAAUUGCCUCUGAUUAUUUCCGCAACACCUGUACAGGUCCUUAACCAAAGCCUCUGGCUGCCUCCAAGUGAAGCAGAGCAUCAGGUACUAACACAACAACCAAGUGCCAACCAAGCGUGUAGAAAGUGUCAGCAAACAAUGCUGUAGUUGAUAGGAUAUUUAAGAGCGUCUCAAACAGCUGCAGCCAGCUAGAGUACAUAAAAGGGCACAGCCAUUAAUUCACAGUGGCCCACACCACUGAUUCGAUGCACACAAAUUGGAGAAGCAGCUGGCUAAAUGUCAUGCUGCUGGCUUGUUUUUGAAGCCCAGGUAACAGAUUUCCAGUUCCUUUCCAAACAC
ensembl:lncRNA